rnacentral:rRNA from 1 species
UCAGCGUCAGUGUCAGCCCAGCAACCCGCCUUCGCCGCAGGUGUUCCUCUCGAUAUCUACGCAUUUCACCGCUACACCGAGAAUUCCAGUUGCCCCUUCUGCACUCUAGCCCCGCAGUAUCAGUUGACCUUUCUGGGUUAAGCCCAGAGAUUUCACAACUGACUUGCGGUGGCCGCCUACCCGCCCUUUACGCCCAGUAAAUCCGAACAACGCUUGCUCCCCCCGUAUUACCGCGGCUGCUGGCACGGAGUUAGCCGGGGCUUCUUCUACGGGUACCGUCAACCUUGCGGUUUCUUCCCCGUCGAAAGGGUUUUACGUCCCAAGAGACUUCAUCACCCACGCGGCGUUGCUUGGUCAGGGUUGCCCCCAUUGCCAAAAAUUCCCCACUGCUGCCUCCCGUAGGAGUCUGGACCGUGUCUCAGUUCCAGUGUGUCCGACCGUCCUCUCAGACCGGAUACUGAUCGUUGCCUUGGUGAGCCAUUACCUCACCAACUAGCUAAUCAGCCGCGGGCUCCUCCUAAAGCGAAUUGCUCCUUUCAUCACAAAAUCCGCAGACUCUGUGAUCGUAUGCGGUAUUAGCACCGGUUUCCCGGUGUUAUUCCCCACUUCAGGGCAGAUUACCCACGUGUUACUCACCCGUGCGCCGCUUUACUCAGGGAGUUGCCCCCCUUUUCUCGCUCGACUUGCAUGUGUUAGGCACGCCGCCAGCGUUGAUUCUGAGCCAGGAUCAAACUC